UACGGAGGGUGCGAGCGUUGUCCGGAAUCACUGGGCGUAAAGGGCGCGUAGGCGGCUGAUUUAGUCGAGGGUGAAAGCCCGUGGCUCAACCACGGAAUGGCCUUCGAUACUGGUUGGCUUGAGACCGGAAGAGGACAGCGGAACUGCGAGUGUAGAGGUGAAAUUCGUAGAUAUUCGCAAGAACACCAGUGGCGAAGGCGGCUGUCUGGUCCGGUUCUGACGCUGAGGCGCGAAAGCGUGGGGAGCAAACAGG
rnacentral:rRNA from 1 species